rnacentral:tRNA from 1 species
GCCUGGGUGGCUCAGUCGGCUGAGCGUCCGACUUCGGCUUAGGUCAUGAUCUCGCAGUUUGUGGGUUCGAGCCCCACAUCGGGCU